GCCUAACAGCUAGCCCACCCAAGCAAUUUCAACAAACCCCUAUUAAUAACCCCUAAGUACCCCAGUAUUUAAAUUAAACAAACCAUUUUUCCCCCUUAGUACAGGCGAUAGAAAGGGGCCUACGGCGCGAUAGAGAAAGUACCGCAAGGGAACGCUGAAAAAGAAGUGAAAUAACCCAGUAAAGCCUAGAAAAGCAGAGAUUCAACCUCGUACCUUUUGCAUCAUGAUUUAGCAAGUGUACCCCAAGCAAAGAGAACUUUAGUUUGGCGUCCCGAAACUACGUGAGCUACUCCAAGACAGCCUAUUAAUAGGGCACACCCGUCUCUGUGGCAAAAGAGUGGGGAGAGCUUUGAGUAGAGGUGACAAACCUACCGAACCUAGUUAUAGCUGGUUGUCCAAGAAAUGAAUAGAAGUUCAGCCUCUUGGCUUCUCUUUUCACCCUAGUUUAACCUCUACCGAUGCAUUAAAGAAACCAAGGGAGUUAGUCAAAGGGGGUACAGCCCCUUUGAAUCAAGACACAACUUUACCAGGAGGGU
rnacentral:rRNA from 1 species